UACGAAGGGGGCUAGCGUUGCUCGGAAUCACUGGGCGUAAAGGGUGCGUAGGCGGGUCUUUAAGUCAGGGGGGAAAUCCUGGAGCUCAACUCCAGAACUGCCUUUGAUACUGAAGAUCUUGAGUUCGGGAGAGGUGAGUGGAACUGCGAGUGUAGAGGUGAAAUUCGUAGAUAUUCGCAAGAACACCAGUGGCGAAGGCGGCUCACUGGCCCGAUACUGACGCUGAGGCACGAAAGCGUGGGGAACAAACGGG
rnacentral:rRNA from 1 species